UUUUGUCACAGGAAACAAUACCCUUCUUAUUGGCCUUGAAUGACUCAGUGUAGUUGAGGGUGAAGGCCUGUCUCUUGCACUGUGGACAGGUUGACCCCUGAGAGAGUCUAUAAUGCCUCUAAUGUGAGGAUCUUGGCUACACAAUUUAGGGGGAUGGGGGACUGCCUUUGGGCAUUACCUCUAGAGUGUUUCUUUGGCCUUUUGGUUGGAGGCAAGCAAAACUAGGGGGCAUCUGAGCUCCAAGGCCUCCUGGCUUGGGGCUUGCACAUUAGGAUGCCUACCAUGGAUUUGGGAGUAUCUGAAGCCUAGGAGGUAGGAUAUUUGCCAGUGGUAGUGCCACACAGACUUGAACAAUUGAGCUGUGCUCAGUCAAUAGAAAACAGAACUGAUUUGGCCUGAGACAUAAUACUUUUACAUACACACA